CCUACGGGUGACAGCAGUGGGGAAUAUUGCACAAUGGGGGAAACCCUGACGCAGCAACGCCGCGUGAUUGAAGCAGUAUUUCGGUAUGUAAAGCUCUAUCAGCAGGGAAGAAAAUGACCGUACCCCACUAAGUAGGCUCCGCUAACUACGUGCCAGCAGCCGCGGUAAGACGUAGGGGGCAAGCGUUAUCCGGAUUUACUGGGUGGAAAGGGGGCGUAGACGGCGGCGCAAGUCAGAAGUGAAAGCCCGGGGCUCAACCGCCACACUGCUUUUGAAACUGUGUGGCUAGAGUGAAGGAGAGGUAGGUGGAAUUCCUAGGGUAGCGGUGAAAUGCGUAGAUAUUAGGAGGAACACCAGUGGCGAAGGCGGCUUACUGGACAGUAACUGACGUUGAGGCGCGAAAGCGUGGGGAGCAAACAGGAUUAGAUACCCCAGUAGUC
rnacentral:rRNA from 1 species